CCUACGGGAGGCAGCAGUGAGGAAUAUUGGUCAAUGGACGAGAGUCUGAACCAGCCAAGUAGCGUGAAGGAUGACUGCACUGUGGGUUGUAAACUUCUUUUAUAUGGGAAUAAAAUGUUCCACGUGUGGGCUUUUGUAUGUACCAUAUGAAUAAGGAUCGGCUAACUCCGUGCCAGCAACCGCGGUAAUACGGAGGAUCCGAGCGUUAUCCGGAUUUAUUGGGUUUAAAGGGAGCGUAGGUGGAUUGUUAAGUCAGUUGUGAAAGUUUGCGGCUCAACCGUAAAAUUGCAGUUGAAACUGGCAGUCUUGAGUACAGUAGAGGUGUGCGGAAUGCGUGGUGUAGCGGUGAAAUGCUUAGAUAUCACGAAGAACUCCGAUUGCGAAGGCAGCUUACUGGACUGAAACUGACACUGAGGCUCGAAAGUGUGGGUAUCAAACAGGAUUAGAUACCCCUGUAGUC
rnacentral:rRNA from 1 species